GAACCCCGUGUGCAUCAAAUUUAAAAGAUGAACUUGGAGCUGAAAACUAAUUGUAUUCACUGGUGAGAUUCUAAUUAUUUAGAGCUUUUCUGAACCACAUAAGCAUUGCAGGAAUAAUAAUCAUAAAAAUGCCUACUGAGGUGUACUAUCCCCAGAACGUUUGUGUGGCUUACUGAUGCUUUAAAUUAACAAGGUGUCACUAGUGAACACAGUUUGUCACCAGGUGCC